rnacentral:rRNA from 1 species
AACCUGGGAACUGCAUUCGAAACUGGCAGGCUAGAGUCUUGUAGAGGGGGGUAGAAUUCCAGGUGUAGCGGUGAAAUGCGUAGAGAUCUGGAGGAAUACCGGUGGCGAAGGCGGCCCCCUGGACAAAGACUGACGCUCAGGUGCGAAAGCGUGGGGAGCAAACAGGAUUAGAUACCCUGGUAGUCCACGCCGUAAACGAUGUCGAUUUGGAGGUUGUGCCCUUGAGGCGUGGCUUCCGGAGCUAACGCGUUAAAUCGACCGCCUGGGGAGUACGGCCGCAAGGUUAAAACUCAAAUGAAUUGACGGGGGCCCGCACAAGCGGUGGAGCAUGUGGUUUAAUUCGAUGCAACGCGAAGAACCUUACCUGGUCUUGACAUCCACAGAACUUUCCAGAGAUGGAUUGGUGCCUUCGGGAACUGUGAGACAGGUGCUGCAUGGCUGUCGUCAGCUCGUGUUGUGAAAUGUUGGGUUAAGUCCCGCAACGAGCGCAACCCUUAUCCUUUGUUG